CCUCCUCCUGACCAUCCCUCAGCAGCUAUUCCCAGAGAAGGCUGGAGGGAGCUCAAAGAAAAGCCGCCUUGGAACAGACUCACCUGGAACUCAUGGACUCCUUUGAGCCUGCAGUGCCGGGGGCCCUGGUGUUUCUCUCUGAGCCGUGAUUUUAUUUAGCUUGAGCGCGGCAUUCUGAACAGGGUGCUAAGGGAAAUUUACAGACUAGAUUAGACAUGGUUUUUACCCUCAGGAAUUUCACAAUUUAAUGGAGGAAAUAAGAUUAACACACAGUCAAUUAAGAGAAAGUAGAUACACAUGUACACAUAAAAAUAUUGAUUUAAGUUUGGGAAAGAGGAGAUAGGGGCAAAGGAUUUAGAUGCUAAUCAGCCAAGUCUUGCAGACUUUGCAGCCUUCACGUGCAUUCAUCUGAGUGGAUGGAAAGCUCACCGUGAGCGGAAAGAAAGAAAGGGGACAGCUUUGCAAGGAGAGAUUCCUCUUUUCUCCCACUCCACUCACCCACAAAUGGCCCCGGAGCAGAAGCAACUGCGUGCUCAGCGAUUCUAAGUCAUGUCUGUGUGACUGGCCAGCUGGGUUAUUGGAUGAUGCUGUGGAGACAUUUUCACUUGGCCUUCUAGUCAUCUGAGAGAAUUCUUGUGAACACGCAGCAAGAUGGAGACAAUUUACAAACCAAAAGAAUCCUCAAAAUGAAACCUUACCUUAUCAGCACCUUGAUCUUGGACUCCUCAGCCACCGGAAUUUACAUACCGUGAAAAGUACAGUACAGCAGCUGGCACACAGAGGAACGUUCACAUCUUUGAAAGUUCACAACUUGAAGCGCGGCCAGAGCCAGCUCCAGCGCCACGUACACCGCGUCCUGCGCCUCCAGCGGCAUCGCCGCCCGGCCCGCCUCGGGCUCGCCCCACCUGGCUUCCCGGAGCGCCCGGCCCGCGCUCGCCCCUCCGCGUCUGAGCCCGGGGCUCCGUAUUUUUCUUUAAGUAGUGUGGAUUAUUUUGCUACACAGAAACCUAUUUAUUCCUAUUAUUAACAUUGGUUCGCAUCUGAAAGUCUUCAACAAUGGCUGUUUAUAAGCUGAAACAUAAAACAUCAUCAACAAUGGAGCAACAGGAACUCUCAUUCAUUGCUGGUGGGAGUGGAAAAUGGGACAGCCACUUCUGAAGAAUGUUUGGCAGUUUCUUACAAACCUAAACAUACCUUUAGUAUACAAUCUAGUAACUGAGCUCCUUGAUGAUGUUCAAAUAAUUUGAAAACUUACUUCUAUGUCAAAUGAAAGACGCCAAUCUGAAAAUACAUAUGAGUGCAACUAUGUAAUAUUCUGGAAAAAUAAAAUUUAUGGAGUCAGAGAAAAGCUCAUGGCUGCUAAGAGAUCUUGGGACAGAUGGAAGAAUAGAUGAAACACAGAGGAUUUUUAUGGCUGUGAAAAUACUUUGCAUGAUACCACAAUGAUUGGAAGCAUGUUUUAUUAUACCCUUAGGCAAAUUCGUAGAAUGUACAGCACAAAGAGUAAACUCUAAUGUAGACUAUGGACUUGGGGCAGUCUAUGCCUGUUUAAUGAUUAUAACAAAUACACUACUCUUGAGAUGAGAUGUAAACUGGCUGCCUUAUUUAUUCACCAAAAACCCACCAGUCUCUUUACAAUGCUCACAGAUGUCAAAAUUGAGUCAUGUCGUCAGGAAUUAAAACAUCCUUACUUGCGAGUCUUCCAACUUUAUUUAGUAGCCUCUCACAGCUAUAUAUAAUAUUCACAUUUUGAUGAUUUGUAGGGAUAGCACAGAAAGUCUAUAUCUGUAGAGGUUUAUGGUAACUAGGAUCUGGAUUUGUGUUCAGACAAGCAGAGGUGCUGGUUGUGAUCAAACACAGUUUAUAAUCCCAAAUUUAUGGCUCAAAGCAAUUUUCACCUUUUGUUCUUCAUCAUGUAAACUCUCUAUGUUAUUCAUCACUAUUUAAAACUGAAUGUAGUCAUAACUAAUAUCAAAAUGGUGUCUGAUACACAGUAGAUGUUAAGUAAAUCUUUUCUAGAUUGAUGACUUGCAUAAAUCUGCCAUAUUUCUUCUUGCACAACUUUCCUCAUUUUUUUUCUUGCAUGAGUUUCCUUUCAAUGUGUUAUGCAGAAUAAUUAUCUAUGUUAGUCAUUCUUAACAAUCCAGUAUCUUCCUUCAAUAAACAUAAACGCCAGAGGGCUAGCAUAUGCUGUAGAAAUAAAGUCUCUUCAGUAAGUGGUGCUGAGAAAACUGGAUAGCUCCAUGUUAAAGAAUGAAAUUAGAACAUCCUCUAACACCAUACAAAAAUAAACUCAAUAUGGAUUAAAGACCUAAAUGCAUGAGCAGAUUAUAUAAAACUCCUAGAGUAAAAUAUAAGCAGAAUACUCUUUGACCCAAAUCACAACAAUAUCUUUUUCAAUCUGUCUCCUAGAGUAAUGGAAAUAAAAACAAACAAAUGGGACCUAAUUAAACUUAAAAGCUUUUGCAUAGCAAAGGAAACUAUAAACAAAGGAAAAGAAAAUCUACAGAAUGGGAGAAAGUAUUUGCAAACAAAGUGACCAACAAGGGAUUAAUCUCCAAAGUAUACAAACAACUCAUGCAGUUCUAUGUCAUAAAACAACCAAGCAAAAAAAUGAGAAGAGACCUAAAUAGAUGUUUUUCUUUCUCCAAAGAAAACAUAGAAAUGGCCAAAAGGCACAGGAAC
ensembl:lncRNA